rnacentral:rRNA from 1 species
AAGACCUUGCACUUUUGGAGCGGCCGAUGUCUGAUUAGCUAGUUGGUGGGGUAAUGGCCUACCAAAGCUUCGAUCAGUAGCUGGUCUGAGAGGACGGCCAGCCACACUGGGACUGAGACACGGCCCAGACUCCUACGGGAGGCAGCAGUGGGGAAUUUUGGACAAUGGGCGCAAGCCUGAUCCAGCCAUGCCGCGCGAGUGAAGAAGGCCUUCGGGUUGUAAAMCUCUUUCAGUCGGGAAGAAAAGGUUGCGACUAAUAAUCGCAAUUCAUGACGGUACCGGAAYAAGAAGCACCGGCUAACUACGUGCCAGCAGCCGCGGUAAUACGUAGGGUGCGAGCGUUAAUCGGAAUUACUGGGCGUAAAGGGUGCGCAGGCGGUUUUGUAAGUCAGAUGUGAAAUCCCCGGGCUUAACCUGGGAACU